GCGGGUAUAGCUCAGUUGGUAGAGCGCGACCUUGCCAAGGUCGAUGCCGCGUGUUCGAGUCACGUUACCCGCU
rnacentral:tRNA from 1 species